CUUUUGUUCUUAGGAAAUUGUGUAUCUGAUGCCAAAUUUGUAGUUGGAAUUAUUGUGUUGUAGGGAUGUUUAUGUUCAAGCCUAUUCCCUUUUCAUGCCUGGAAAAAUUAAAAAAAAAAAUCCAUUGAGUCUUCACUUGAUAGAUGUUGUGUAUUAUAAUAGUUAAGUUAACUAAUCAUAAUCCACACUUUGGGCGAAGUUAAAAUUCAUUUCUAAUUAGGCUAAUAAUCACCAAAGAAAAAAAAAGCUUCAACUUUUGAUUUUUCUUUUCAAAUUUGGCCAAUAUAUUUAAUUUUUGCAAUCAAUAUCUUAUAUUUAUUUUUUAUUAUCAAUUAUGGCUUUCAUCCAGAAUUCGAUUAGAUGUGGUCGAUUGAUGUAGCUUCGAAAGGAAAGAAAUCUACUUGUUGGACCUUGGGUUGCUGUAUUACGACUUACUUGAUGAGGGUCCAUCAAGAAUCCAUUAAUUGUAAUGGCUAAAUCUAUGAAAAAUACCAUCAACUAUCUGUUUAGAAGAGUAAUCGUUGAAGGCAGAGAGGAAAAUUUAGGAGAGUAAAUUGUUUUAUCAAAAUGGUGUGUAUGAAUCCCUUGCGUCAAGUUAAUUCAAGGUCAAGCUACGAGUCCAUAAUAAUACUAUUUUAUUCUAAAUUCUAAUCCUGUGCUAAUAUAUUUAUAUUUCAAAAUAGGAGUGCUGGAGGUAUAAAGGUCAAAUUAUAGUGAUUUUGCAACAAAUCAUAUAGUUGAAAGUAUUUUUUUAUAGGUUUAGCCAACUGUAAAAUUAUACAAAUUUUUGUAAGUUUGCGGUGGGAUGGAAAUGAGAUUGUCUCAACAAUACAAUCUUCCAACUUAGAGAUUCUAAAAAUAAGGAUGAAUACUAAAGAAUAGUCACUGGAUGUGAACUGGCUUACUGUGGGACCAAUUAACAACCAAAGAAGCAACAAACUGAUGGACUUUGGACGAAUGCCAUAAUUGAUAAGAAAAAAACAUAUGAGGUAAUAACUAAAAAAAUUAAAAAUAUUAACUAAAUUUGUCAAAAACAUGAAAGUUCAAGCUUUUUUGUUUUUUUAUUUAGCCUUUCUAAAAAUUCUAAUUGUUUACAACAUAUUCAUGACAGGAAAAAGAAAAGGUAAAUUAAGAAAAGGGAAAACGAAAGGAAAUAGAUAUAAGCCUUGAAUUUGAUAAGAAAAUUCAAAGGAAAUGAUGAUUCCUAAGCAAGACUAUAUAUGGUAACAAUUAAAUUCUUUUGAUAAAUAAAAAAUUUAUAUGGUAAAAUUACGAAUACUUUAUGAGCCAAAGAAAAAUAAUUCAAUAUAUCUUUUUAAAUAUCAUGUGUAAAAGAUUUUUUUUUUUUUUUUGGCUUUUUCAUGAUAACAAAUUAAUCAUCUAUCAAUUGUUUAAUUAAUUCAUAUUAAGUAUAUUCUUUCUUUACUGUAUUCAAAAAUUAAAAAGAAAUGCUAAAAAAAAUCAAAAUUCUCUAAAAUAUAAAUUUUUUUGAAGACAUAAUAUGAUUGGAUUACUAAACGCUUUCAAACCCUGAAAUAUUGACAAUACAAAUAGGAGAUGAACCAAAGGAUUCAACCUGAUCAGACAAAGAAUAAGUUGCCUUUGCUAAGCUUUGGGCUAGACCAUUCUUAUAUCAACGAGUAAAACCAAGAACAACACCAGAUAUCUCUGUCAAAAGAGAUUUACAAUCUACUAUAAGAGCACCAAAACCGGGAUCAUCUUGAUAAGAAAGGUUGUUAAUAGCUGCAGCCACCAGAUAUUCCAUGAGUGAGACUUGCUCCAACUCAACGCCUCACGAAUAGAUUUGGCUUCAGCAGCGCUUUUUGAGGACGCGCCUCUCACAGACGCUUCUGAAGGCUUGGGAUGAAGACACCAUCUGAGUCUCGAAGGACACAUCCUACUAAAAUAUACUCCUUACGUUCCAUAUAUAUAGACCUAGUUUGACUUUCACAUAGUUAAACUAUAUUUUUUGUUUAGCUUUUUCCAAAACUAUCCCUUUACAAUAUUAAAUGAUGUAUGUAUAAUUGAGAAUAGAGAUGUAUAUUAAAUAGGGGUACAUUAAGAAAUUAUAUAAUAAAUUAUCUUUCAAAAAAGGAAA
rnacentral:lncRNA from 1 species